rnacentral:sRNA from 1 species
GCCAGGCAUGGUGAUGCAUACCUGUAAUCCCAGAAAUUCAGGAGGCUGAGGCAGGAGGAUCACAAGUUCGAGAAUGGCCUCAGCAAUUUAGUGAGGUCCUGUGUCAA